rnacentral:tRNA from 1 species
ACUCGGUUAACUCAAUGGGAGAGUACCUGCCCUACAAGCAGGAAGUUAUGGGUUCAAGUCCCUUACCGGGUACCA